CAUGCUAUGAAUGCCUACACUACCAUUGUAACUUUUGGAAGAAUGAUACCACUUAUUUUAUCGCUUUUUGAAGGAUGAAUAUUUUAGUAUAUAUGCUGUAGACCUCAAACCCUGUGAAGAGUCUCAAAGAAGCUGGCUGGAUAAAGCCUGCUGUGGAUGUCUUUAUAUUCCAAGGUCGGUGAUGCAGUUUGAAUAUGUGUCCCCACCAAAUCUCAUGUUGAAUUAUAUUUCCUAAUGUUGAAGGUGGAUCCUGGUCUAAGGUGAUUGAAUCCUGAAGGCAAAUUUCUCAUGAAUGGUUUAGUACAAUCCUCUUGCUACUGUCCUCACAAUCAUGAGUGACUUCUCAUGAGACCUAGUCAUUGAAAACUGUAUGUCACCUCCCUACUCUGCGUGUUUUCCUCUUGCCAUGUGAGACAACUCUCUCUCUCUUCACCUUGCACAAAGAUUGAAAGAUUUCUGAGGCCUCCCAGAAGCAGAAGCCAAUGCUUCUGUCUACACUGUCUACCCUGCAGAACCAUGAGCCAAUUAAACCUCUUUUUCAAAAUGAAUCAUACAGAAAAUGGCAAAUGAGGACUGGAGUGUUGCUAUAAAGAUACCUGAAAAUGUGGAAGCAGCUUUGGAACUAGUCUUGCUUCUACUCCUGCCAUAUGAAGCAUCUCCUUGCCCAUUGGACUUCUGGUAUGAUUGGGAGGCUUCCUGAGUCCUCCUAGAAGCAGAAGCCAGUAUGCUUCCUUUACAGCCUGCAGAACCGUGAGUCAAUUACGCCUCUUUUCUUUAUGAUUAUACACAAAAUUAGUGCUGUGAAGUGGAGCUAUGAAAUGCCUUCAAGGCCUUUUCCCCCAUCGUCUUGGCAACCAACACUCAGCUUCUUUUCCUGCAAAUAUCUGAAGCCUUUGUGAAUUUUCCCCCUGAAAAUGGACUUUUCUUCUUUUACCACAUUACCAGGCUGUGACAAAGAUAUCCUGAGAAUGUAGAAGCAGGUUCAGAAGUGGGUAAAAGACAGAGGUUGGGAGAGUUGAGAACGCUUAGAAGACAGCAAGAUGAGGAAAAGUUUGGACCACUGAAAAGAAUUGUUAAAUACUUGUGAUCAGAAGGCUGACAGAAAGAUGGACAGUGAAGGCCAGACUUAAAAGGUCUCAGAUGAAAAUGAAGAAUUUCCUGUGAACAGGAGCCACAGUUACAUUUGAUUGGCCUUAACAAAUAACAUGGCUGCAUGGUGACCCUGCCCUGGAGAUCUGUGAAACUAUGAACUUGGGGGUGAAAAUUUAGGAUGUAUCUGAUGGAAUGAACAUGUAGGCAGCAUAGCUCCAGAGGUGUCCUGUCCACGUCAAACAGCCUGUGUUCUUAUGUGCGACCUAAGAAAUGACCUCAAGUUGCAACUUCUAUUUAAAUGAGAAGCACAGCUCAAAAGUUUGAAAAAUUUGCAGCCUAGCCAAAUGGUCAAAAAGAAAAGCUGAUUUUCAGGAGGAAAAUUAGGGAACAUUUAGAGUAUUUGCAUAAAAAAGAGCCCAGUGCAAAUAGCCAAGUCAAUGGGGAAAAGGCCUUGAAGGCAUUUCAGAGACCUUUGCAGCAACCCUUGCUGUCACAGGCCCUGAGGCCUAGAAGAGAAAAAUGGUUUCCUGGGCCAGCUCCAUGGCCUCCCUGCUGUGUGCAUCCUCAGGACACUGCUGCCUGCAUCUGUGCAGCUCCAGCUCCAGCCAUGGCUGAAAGAUGCACAGGUACAGCUUGGGUCACUGCUUCAGAGGCGGCUCCAAGCCUUGAUGCCUUCCACAUAGUGUUAAGCCAGCAAGUGCACAGAGCAAGAGACUAGAGGCUUGGGAGCCUGCGUCUAGACUCCAGAAGAUGUACAGAGAAGCCUGGGUGUCCAGGCAGAAGCCUUUCCAAGAGGCAGAGCCUCAUGGAAACCUUUACUAAGGUAGCAAAGAAUGGACAUAUUGGAUUGAAGCCCUCACACAGGAUACCCAGGGUGAAGACUUCUCCCACUUCUGAACUCAGGGUCCAGCACUGCCCCACCCAAACUUCCACUAUUUUGUGACACAUGAAGAUACUCGGCUGUGGCACUUCCUGGAGCCUGCAUGGAGAUGUUCAGCCCUGUGACAUCUCUGCAAACCUUCUCCCUACAGCUGCAUAAAGUUUGAGGUGGACAGUAGUAGUGGAAAGAUGGCUUGAACCUUAUUUCAGAGUGGGAUCUUCAUAGGUUUUUCUCAUCUUGUUUUUAGAAUUUUUUCUUGUUUGUGUAAAGACGGUAUUAUGGAAAUGUAAGGUUCAGUGAAGGAACUCAGGAUGAAGAUGGGCUUACAGCACCACUGUCAGCAUCCCUCUAUGUCCUGUCACUUCUAGAAACCAAGCCCACACCAAGCACGGCACAAAUAAAAAACAUCACCCUUUUAUGAAUAAAAAACCAUAUAUAUUGUGGAAUAUUAAAUGUUCUGCGUGUACU